CGAGCACGCGCGUGUGGCAUAUCAAUAAGCGGAGGAAAAGAAACUAACAAGGAUUCCCCUAGUAACGGCGAGUGAAGCGGGAAGAGCUCAAAUUUGAAAUCUUAAAGGGUUUCCCUUUACGAAUUGUAGUUUAAAGAAGUGUUUUCUGUUGGAGUUUCGGUAAAAGUUCUUUGGAAUAGGACAUCAUAGAGGGUGAGAAUCCCGUAUUUGACCGUUACUUUCCAGCUGUGUGAUACACUUUCAAAGAGUCGGAUUGUUUGGGAAUGCAGUCCAAAAUGGGUGGUAAAUUUCAUCUAAAGCUAAAUAUUGGCGAGAGACCGAUAGCGAACAAGUACCGUGAGGGAAAGAUGAAAAGAACUUUGAAAAGAGAGUUAAACAGUACGUGAAAUUGUCAAAAGGGAAGCGUUUGACACCAGUGUUGUUUUUCCGAAAAUCAAUUACGAAUGUUUUAUUUUUGAGGAGUUAUGACUUCAUCGGCUUGCUCCUUUCUUUAUGAAACUUUCUUAAUGCACUUUUCGGUUAACAAGUCAACAUCAAUUUCUUUUGUUGUAAAAGGGUAUGAGGAAGGUGGCUUUCUUUUCGGAGAAAGUGUUUAUAGCCUUGUGCCUCUGCAAUCGGAGAGAUUGAGGUCUGCAGCGUAGAUCCUUCGGGGUUAGAUACGUUUGUGCUAAGUUAUAGCUUUUCAUAGACAACUUGUUGACUAUGUUUAGUCUUGUAGCUUACUCGCUUACUGCUAUUUUACCUACGCUUAGGAUGUUGAACUCUAUCACACACAG
rnacentral:rRNA from 1 species